rnacentral:rRNA from 1 species
UACGUAGGUGGCAAGCGUUGUCCGGAUUUAUUGGGUUUAAAGGGUGUGUAGGCGGCCUUAUAAGUCCGUGCUGAAAUAUCCCGGCUUAACCGGGAGGGUGGCAUUGAUACUGUAGGGCUUGAGUAAAGUUGAGGUUGGCGGAAUUGACGGUGUAGCGGUGAAAUGCUUAGAUAUCGUCAAGAACACCGAUAGUGAAGACAGCUAACUAAGCUUUAACUGACGCUGAGGCACGAAAGUGUGGGGAUCAAACAGG